GUUUAGGGCUCAUCCAAAGGAGAGAGGCCUGGUGAGGUGGAAUCAGGGAGACUGGUGACACCCAUAGGGAUAGACACAGGGGCGGCCUGAGCCCCCGAGGCGGGCCCUGGGGGUGAGGGAGGCCAGGCUGGGGUCUGGGGCCCAAGGUGUGGAAUGGGGGUGACAGGACCCAGCUUCCUUCCUGGUGCACACAGGUGUUUGGCCACGGGAAGGUGAAUGGUGAACCCACAUGGGCACUCCUCCUGACGGCACUCAUCGCCGAGCUGGGCAUCCUCAUCGCCUCCCUCGACAUGGUGGCCCCCAUCUUAUCCAUGUUCUUUCUGAUGUGCUACCUGUUCGUGAACCUCGCCUGUGCGGUGCAGACACUCCUGAGGACCCCCAACUGGCGGCCCCGGUUCAAGUACUAUCACUG
rnacentral:sRNA from 1 species